GACGAACGCUGGCGGCUUGCUUAACACAUGCAAGUCGAACGAAGUGGCGAACGGGUGAGUAAUACGUGGGUAACCUGCCCUCCUUUUUGGGAUAAGCCUUGGAAACGGGGUCUAAUACCGAAUAAAGGGGGAUGGGCUCGCGGCCUAUCAGCUUGUUGGGGGGGUGAUGGCCUACCAAGGCGGUGACGGGUAGCCGGCCUGAGGGGGUGACUGGCCCCAAUGGGCCUGCGAUACGGCCCCGACUCCUACGGGGGGCAGCUGUGGGGGAUUUUGCGCAAUGGGCGAAAGCCUGAUGCGGCGACGCCGCGUGGGUGAUGAAGGCUUUCGGGUUGUAAACCUCUUUCGAUAUCGAACGGGUAGGUGAAGAAGAAGCGCCGGCUAACUACGUGCCAGCAGCCGCGGUAAUAC
rnacentral:rRNA from 1 species